ensembl:snRNA U2 U2 spliceosomal RNA
UGUCCUCCAUAGGAGGUUUAUGUUGAGCAGAUUCUUUUUGGUAUUGGGUGGUGGAACCGGAGCGUGCUCCAUCCACUCCAUGCAUUGACCUGGUAUUGCAGUGCCUCCAGGACCGGUGC